UGGUUCCGGCAUCGAUGAAGAACGCAGCGAAAUGCGAUAAGUAAUGUGAAUUGCAGAAUUCAGUGAAUCAUCGAGUCUUUGAACGCACAUUGCGCCCCCUGGUAUUCCGGGGGGCAUGCCCGUUCGAGCGUCAUUACACCCCUCAAGCAUCGCUUGGUUGUGGGCGUCGCGGCACCCCGCGCGCCUCAAAGUACGCCGGCUGAGCGACCCGCCCCGGAGCGUUGUGGCAAACGUCCGCUCUGUAGGGUCGGAGCUCCGGCCGUGUCUCAUUGUAUUAGGUUGACCUCGGAUCGGGCAGGGAUACCCGCUGA
rnacentral:misc_RNA from 1 species